rnacentral:rRNA from 1 species
AUGUCAACUAUAAAUUGUCCCUCUUCUGUUAGAGCUAAAAUUGGUUGUAGAUCGAUAGCUCAACUUCCUGUCACUGCUGAAGGGGUGCUUGCAGGACGUUUCUACAAGUUCACCUAUGAGGUUGAGGAGGUUUUGGUUAAAAAUCAUGUGAAUGCAGAAACUGUGGAUCCUAUUCCUCAUGAAAGGACCAAGCCAAAUCAGACACCUAAGAGGAGACGUACUGAACAAGAGAAAGGAGUGCCGCAGCCUGAGUCUGCUGGACGUGACAACAUUGGGGGUUCCUAUCGUGGUGGCAAGGAAUGUCGCCUGCUAUACGAUGAUAAAGAGGGAUCUCCCUCUACUGAAAGUGAUGAAGAUAAUUCUCUACUCAUUGAAAAAACUGCAGAAAGAAAUCGAGGAAAAAAUGAAAGAAGAUGGCAUGGACUCAUCUAA